rnacentral:ncRNA from 2 species
AAUUUAUCAAGAGUGGUGGAGGGAAUUGGCCCUGUGAAACCCUGCAACCUCAUCGAACUUCGAUAAAGGUGCUAAAUCCAACAAUGGUUAAGACCAUUGAAAGAUAAAUG